UUUGGGUGGUGCCUUGGCCAAAUGAGGCCCUCACCUAUUUAUAGGCACCAAUGGAACUCUCUGGAACCUUAAAGGGUUCCUUACAAAUCAAGACGAUUCUAGAAUACCCUACACAAUUCUAUAUACAACCCUAUGUACAAGAGAUCUCUAGAAAGCCUUGGACUGCUCUCAUGCCUUCCACCAUAGUGUAGAGAUGUGUCGACAUCUCUAGGCAUCUCUAGAACCUUCCACACUCUUCCCACCAAUGGCUUAGUGUAGAUGGUUUCAGGAGUCUCCAGAAGCUUCCCUCCUCCUAUAUAAGCCCAUGGGGAGGGUCAUUUGAAGCAUCUUGUGACACUUUCCCCAACCUAUGUCGUCGAUGUCCUCGUCGUUGCCUCUUCUUGAAACCUCUUGAUGUGUUUCCAGAACCUUCUCAAGGAAUCCGUGUGUUCCCAGCUUGUCUGCCUCUUAGGUAGUCCUUUCCAUUGGACUAGAUACUCUAUCACAGGAGGGACUCCUUGUCUCCUAGUGACCCGUUCAGCCAGGAUAUUCUUCACCUCCUUCUCUCGUGAGGCUAUAGAUGGAUGCAAACCCAUGCACUUUCGAUGCUUAGAGUGUUGCUUCCUCUUACCCAUUGAGUUCACCUUUCCCUUAGUGACCUCGUCCAUGUGUGUACGGGUUACCCCAACUCGCUCCCAUUUUGCCUCAUUUACUUGCACCCUUGAUAGUAAGGAGGUCUUAGGCGUACUAGGCUUUGGGUUGAAUUGGAGGGCACCUAGUAGCUGCAUCAAGCCCAUAUGUGCUUUGUCCUCUUGUUCCCUCUCCUCGAUCAUGGCACUAAACGCCUUCCUCUUUGGACAAUCAUGUUCCCAAUAUGGACCAUCAUAUAGGAAGCAUUUGAUUUUAGGCGUAAACUCCUUCCUUUCCACAUUACCCCUUCCUUCUCGGAUGUUAGGCAUCUUGCCCGAUCCCAUUCUAGGAGCAUUGUGGUCCCUUGAGACCUCGUCUCCCCCACCUGUGGCAUGGCUAUCCUCCAAAGACUCAACCUUGGAGGAGUAUCCCCUUUUGUAAUCAGUUAAAGACUCUACUAUUUCCAUAGCAGUGGCUAAGUCUUGAAUGCCUCGGCGCCUUAAUUCAUGCUCGGCCUACCCUUGCAGGUUAUCCAUGAAGUUGAAUAGCAACUCCUCCUCAGUCAUGUUAGGAAUCUCAAGCAUGAGUGAAGAGAAUUCCUUGACAUACUCACGUAUCGAGCCUGUGUGCUUGAGAUGCCUCAUGUUUUUCCUAGCCAGGUAAGCCACGUCUUCGAGGUAGAACUGCCUCUUAAUCUCCCUCUUAAAGUCUUUCCACGUCUCUAUGGUGCAAAUGUCUUUCUCCAUAUCGACAAACCUCCGAUGCCACCAUAGAGUAGCUGUGUCAGUAAGGUAGAGGGUUGCAGUUCUUACCUUAGUCGCCUCAUCAGUCAAUGCGAUAGCCUCGAAGUAUCGCUCCAUAUGCCAUAAGAAGCUAUCCAACUCCUUGGAAUCCCGUUUGCCAUCAAACCCUUGUGGCUUCGGCACCUCCAUCCUAGAUGCCUUUUAUGUGGCCAUGACCCAUGUCGACACAGUAGCCUUGUAGAUAGCCAACUCUUGCCUAACCUCCUAGUCUUGGGACUCUAUUCGAGUGGCCGAGGCCUCUAUCCUUGACUCCAUGCUAGCAAGCAUGCUCAAAACCUUUCCUUGGAAGGACACAAACUCCUCAUGCGACACUGGUUAAACCUGUGAGACUAGCACUCUCUCACGAAGGUCUUGGAUCUGCUCCCUUAGAUCCUCUAAGCCCUUCUCCAUGCUUUGCUCGAUCAAGUCUAACUCCUCCCGAGUGUCCGCCAUGGCUAGCUCCACCUUGACUAACCUUGCCUCUAUGUUGGCAACUACAUCACGAGAUUUAUCCUUCUUGCCCCUGCCCUGUGCAGUAGGCUCGGUUUCCUUUCCACGGGUUUGUUCACUAGUCUUAUCCACAUUGGAGCCCAACAUGCUUCCUUUACUAUGCCCACUUCGUAACCACUUGUCACGGACUUAGUCGUUUACUAAGCUCGUGCGACACUUAGACAAGUUAAGACGCUUGAUCUUGCUAAGUCAACCUUACUCCCAAUGUUUAGCUUGCUAGGCUAAGAUGCUUACGAUUCGGAAGUUAUAGAAGGCGUAGUAGGCAAUUCUUAAAUAAUAGAAGCUCUUAUUACUCAAGGAAGCCUUUACAAGUGCUUUGAGGACUCACUUGUUUGGUUAGGAAGUGAUUUUGGUGGUGCUUUGGCCAAAUGAGGCAUUCGCCUAUUUAUAGGCACCAAUGGAACUCUCUCGAACCUUAGAGGGUUCCUUACAAAUCAAGAAGAUUCUAGAAUACCCUACACAAUUCUAUGUACAACCCUAUGUACAAGAGAUCUCUAGAAUUCUUUAGAAAGCCUUGGACUCCUCUCAUGCCUUCCACCAUAGUGUAGA
rnacentral:lncRNA from 1 species